rnacentral:rRNA from 1 species
GGAGUCUAGAUGUUGCGAGAUUUGAAAUGUCAUGAGUAGCAAUACGAUUGAUGUGGAUGGUGGAGCAUUUUCUAGAUUUAGCGGCGAACGAGUUAGUAACACCUUGGUACGUACCCCGAAGACAGGGAUAGCCAAUCGAAAGAUUGAUUAAUACCUGAUAUAUCGAAAGAUGAAAGUCGCAAGACGCUUUGGGAUCGGCCUAGGUCCGAUCAGCUUGUUGGUGAGGUAAUAGCUCACCAAGGCUACGACCGGUAGGGGGGGUGAGAGCCCGGUCCCCAACGAUGGAACUGAGACACGGUCCAUACUCCUACGGGAGGCAGCAGUCGAGAAUAUUCUACAAUGGGCGAAAGCCUGAUAGAGCGACGCCGCGUGCAGGAAGAAGCCCUUCGGGGUGUAAACUGCUUUUCUUCGGGAUGAAGUCUGCGCAAGCAGAUUGACAGUACCGAGGGAAUAAGGAGCGGCUAACUUCGUGCCAGCAGCAGCGGUAAUACGAAGGCUCCAAGCGUUAUCCGGAUUUAUUGGGCGUAAAGAGUGCGUAGGUGGUUUUGUGCGUCCUCUGUUAAAUCUAGCCGCCCAACGGCGAGACUGCAGUGGAUACGACAAGACUAGAGGGUGCUAGAGGUUUGCGGAACGCACGGUGUAGGGGUGACAUCCGUUGAUAUCGUGCGGAACACCAAAGGCGAAGGCAGCAAACUGGAGCAUUCCUGACACUGAGGCACGAAAGCGUGGGGAGCGAAAAGGAUUAGAUACCCUUGUAGUCCACGCCGUAAACUAUGUUCACUAGCUAUUUCGAGUAUCGACCCUCGGAGUGGCGCAGCUAACGCAUUAAGUGAACCGCCUGGGAAGUACGAGCGCAAGCUUAAAACUCAAAGGAAUAGACGGGGACUCGCACAAGCGGAGGAUUAUGAGGUUUAAUUUGAUAACAAACAAGGAACCUUACCAGGGCUUGACAUGCUAGUGGAAAGCCGCCAGAAACGGUGGCCCUCUCUCAAGGAUCACUAGCACAGGUGCUGCAUGGUUGUCGUCAGCUCGUGUCUUGAGACGUUCCCUUAAGUGGGUAAACGAGCGCAACCCUUGCUAUCUGUUACAAGUGUCAGAUAGGACUGCCGUGUUUCACACGGAGGAAGGAGAGGAUGACGUCAAAUCAGCAUGGCCCUUUGAUGCCCUGGGCUACACUCAUAAUACAAUGGUCAGUACAAAGAGUUGUGAAACCGUAAGGUGGAACUAAUCUUCAAAACUGGCCUCAGUUCAGAUUGAGGGCUGAAACCUGCCCUCAUGAAGUCGGAUUCGCUAGUAAUCGUGCAUCAGCUAUGGCACGGUGAAUACGUUCUCGAGUCCUGUACUCACCGCCCGUCACGUCAAGGAAGCCGGGAGGAGGCGAAGUCUCGCUUUAGCGGGACCAGUCUCAGUUCGGUGACACGGACGAAGUCGUAACAAGGCACGCGUAGCGGAAGCUGUGCGUG